ensembl:lncRNA
GUGGUUUUAGAGAAAGUGUUGAUGAUGGAGGAGGUGGGGGUGGUGGUGGAGGUGUAUGUGGUGGAGGAAGAGGUGGUGGUUGCGGUGGACGAAGUGGUGGUGGUAGAGGAAUUGGUGGUGGAGGAGGAGGUGGUGGAGGAAGUAGUGGUGUUAGAGGAAGUGGUGGUGGAGGAGGAGGUGGUGGAGUAUGUGGUGGUGGAGGAAGUGGUGGAGGUAGAGGAAGUGGUGGUGGAGGUGGAUGAGGUGGUGGAGGUGGUGGAGGAAGUGGUGUUGGAAGUGGUGGUGGGGGUGGAGUAGGAAGUGGUGGAGGAGGAGGUGAAGGAAGUGGUGGUGGUGGAGGUGGUGGGGAAGGUGGUGGUUGAGAAGGUGGUGGAGGCAAUGGUGGUGGAGA